rnacentral:lncRNA from 1 species
GUAGACCGGAGCUGUUCCUAUUCGGCCAUCUUGGCUCCUCCCCUCCGAAAAAUAACUUUCUAAAGCAGAACUAUUUCUGCAUUCCACUUGACUUCAGCUAAAGAAACUGGUCUGUAAAAAUGGCUUUUUAAAUAUUAUAGAGUGAAAUGCCACUGAAAGGGCUACACUUCCUAAGCCAGCCUCUCUAAAUGACCCCUAGGUCCCCUGUGCAAAAAGUAAUCACCCUCUUUUCUGCAACGAAGAAUUUUAUUAAUUCCCAAAGUUUUAUAAUCUUUAUAUUCAUCAUAUUACCCACUGUAUCCAUGACUUACUUCUUAAAAAUCAGGGCAGUGUUCAGAAACCGAUAUCUGACAUUUACUUGAAUGAAAAAAGGCAUCAUUUAGCCUGAACUUUCAUUUUGAUCUUUCCAUACCCUGAUUUCAUUCCAAUCAUUUUUUGCUGCUUUAUAGGCUCAAAACUAGUACUCACUGAACUUGCUUAUUUUUAAGUGACUCAUCUAAGAAAUAUAAUUUAUUUAUGCCCUCAAUGCCCACAAUAUAAACACUGUAAUAUUAUAUAUUUUUUCUAACAGCAGGGUGAUUAUAACUAAAGAUCUAGAGCAUGCAUUAGACCCUGUGACAUUCUGUACUUAAGGGAUGUAGUUUAAUGUGAAUGAAAUUUGUGAAGCCUGAAGGUUAAAUUGACAUUUAGGUGUCAGAUACAAACUCUGGGUGCUAUACUCACAUGGUAAAGAGAUGAAGUAAAUAAUUGUUUUAAAAGGGAAUGGUCAAGCUCUGUAGUUUCUCUCACUAUACUUUAAUAUGCAGACUAGCCUUCCAUUUUUCCAUCUAGACAUAAAGUCAAUAAAUAUAUGACCACCACUAAUAUACUAAUUUUCC